rnacentral:rRNA from 1 species
ACACGUGACCAAUCUGUCCUAGGGUGAGGGACAACCUGGGGAAACCCGGGCUAAUACCACAUGACGUACAGACCUCGCAUGGGGACUGGACCAAAGAGGGCCUCUGCUUGCAUGCUCUCGCCAAAGGAGGAGGUCGCGGCGUAUCAGCUUGUUGGUGAGGUAACGGCUCACCAAGGCUACGACGCGUAGUGGGUCUGAGAGGACGACCCGCCACAUUGGGACUGAGAUACGGCCCAGACUCCUACGGGAGGCAGCAGUGGGGAAUAUUGCGCAAUGGCCGAAAGGCUGACGCAGCGACGCCGCGUGUGGGAGGAAGCCUUUCGGGGUGUAAACCACUGUCAGAGGGGAAGAACUUCGUCACUUCGAAUAGGGGUGGCGGUUGACGGUACCCUCAAAGGAAGCACCGGCUAACUCCGUGCC